UACAGAGGGGGCAAGCGUUGUCCGGAAUCAUUGGGCGUAAAGAGCGUGUAGGCGGUCCGGUAAGUCGGCUGUGCAAGUCCAGGGCUCAACCCUGGGAUGCCGGUCGAUACUGCCGGACUAGAGUUCGGAAGAGGCGAGUGGAAUUCCCGGUGUAGCGGUGAAAUGCGCAGAUAUCGGGAGGAACACCUAUGGCGAAGGCAGCUCGCUGGGACGUUACUGACGCUGAGACGCGAAAGCGUGGGGAGCAAACAGG
rnacentral:rRNA from 1 species